ACGAUUUUUUCAUUAUUCGACGAAAGGACAUGUUUGAAAAGAGAGAAAGUGGAUUAAAACACAUAUAUAUUCCAACAAGUUCACUGUUUCCAAUACACUGUAUAGGGAUUAGAUGCUGGUUGACGAAGAUCUUUGUGCAAUGAAAUGGGAGGUACAUAUGUGCUAAUGAAAUAAUACAGAAAAAGCGUCUCAGAAAUUCUGGAUAGUGUAGAAACAUAUUUCUAGAUUCAGGAGAAAAUUAUUUGUGGACCCAGAUUUUAUUGUUGUUUCCCCUUCAAAUAUACCGCGGGGGAAAAGUUUUGAUUAGAAUGUAGAAAUAAUAUCUCUUGGUGGAUUUUUUUUAUUCGUAAGGAGAGUUCUAAUAAAAAAGAUGUGGAGACCGAU
rnacentral:sRNA from 1 species